rnacentral:rRNA from 1 species
AUUGAACGCUGGCGGCAGGCCUAACACAUGCAAGUCGAGCGGAGCGGCGGACGGGUGAGUAAUGUAUGGGGAUCUGCCUUAUGGUGGGGGAUACCGUCCGGAAACGGGCACUAAUCCCGCAUACUAUCAGAUGACUCUAGGUCAGAUUAGCGAGUUGGUGGGGUAAAGGCCUACCAAGGCGACGAUCAGUAACUGGUCUGAGAGGAUGAUCAGUCACACUGGAACUGAGACACGGUCCAGACUCCUACGGGAGGCAGCAGUGGGGAAUAUUGGACAAUUGGCGAAAGCCUGAUCCAGCCAUGCCGCGUGUGUGAAGAAGGUCUUCGGAUUGUAAAGCACUUUAAGUUGGGAGGCGUUACCAACAGAAUAAGCACCGGCUAACUUCGUGCCAGCAGCCGCGGUAAUAC